AUGGCUGAUAAACAGGUCAUUGUCGUUGUCGAAAAUAAAAUUGUCAGGAGCAUUAGUGGGAAUGAGUCAACUGGGCAGAAGCCUUCUGUUUUCAACGUUGAGUUUGCCCUAGUCACUUAUAAUACUCAUGGGUGUUAUUCAGGUAUCCUUGUGCAACGCACUGGUUGGACAAGAGACCCUGAUGUUUUCUUACAGUGGCUAUCAUCUAUACCCUUUUCUGUGGCGGUUUUAAUGAUGCAGCAAUUGCUGAAGGACUUGCUGAAGCUCUGA